CGGAAUAAAAACCUCUCUCUAGAAACUUUAUAAUAUUGUUACAGUACAUAAAAGACUUAUGUAUAUUGUAAAAUAAAAUCGGAAUAAAAACCUCUCUCUAGAAACUCUCCAACUUCUCUCUCAAAACAAAGUUCAUCUUCCAUGUCGGUGUGUGUGUUUUCCGGCGGUGGUGCGGCACCGUCGGAAUAGCUUUUGUUUUUGUUUUGUUCUUGCGUUUAAAGUGUCUGUUUAGUUUCCUCUCCAACAUCGGUGACAAUCGUUUUGCAUCGUCUGGUUGGUUUUUGACUCUGGUGUCAUCACCUUAUUCUCCGGUGAGGGCAGCCGGCUCUUGACUCUGAUUUCGACCUUUCUUCAAGGUGAAGUCGGCACGAUCGAUUCCCAAUCAAUGGAAUGUCUCUGUUUUUAAGUCUUGGUGUUUUGGUGUUGGAUGAAAUCUCGACUUCGGUCGAUCGAAGCUCUCUGUUAUAUGGUGGUUCCGAUGUGUGUGAAGAUCUUCUCUAUGAUUAUAGAUGUGAUAUGGAUUAGGGACGAUUGACGUUCUCCGGUCGAUGGAUAUGAGAAGAAGAUGUGGGCCUUAAAGCUGGUGGUUUCUUUGGGUGUGGUACUAUUCCCGGUUAGGUUCUGGUGGUUUGCCGUGUUUCCGGCGACGACAUGCAAUUUGGUGAAGGCGGUGGAGACUUUCCAACACGUGGGCUUUCGUCCUCGUGCUUUGAACACGUGGUAGGGAUGUGUUGUUUUCUCCUGUGCCGUGGGUUUACUUGGGCCAUUGUUGGGCUUUGUUCUUUUUUUGGGUUUAUGUUGUAGGUUUAUAUGCUGGUUGAAUGCCUUUUGUGUGGGCUUUUUAUAUCUCUAAAAGUAAUAUCAAUAAAUAUCGGUUGGCAAAAAAAAAAAAGACUUAUGUAUAUUGUAUUUUCAUACAUCGUACACGGUAUAUUGCGUGCGUACAAGAAAAGAAAAAACGGGGCAAAGCCUGACACAGGUUUAUAGAGUUGUCGGCUAUAAAAGUUUUGGGG
rnacentral:lncRNA from 1 species